GAUCAUGGCUCAGAUUGAACGCUGGCGGCAGGCCUAACACAUGCAAGUCGAGCGAUGAGAUCACUUCGGUGAAGGAUUAGCGGCGAACGGGUGAGGAACACGUGAAGAAUCUGCCUUCAACUCUGGGAUAACUCCGGGAAACCGGGGCUAAUACCGGAUAUGAGCCUUGAUCGCAUGAUCGGGGCUGGAAAGUUUUUCGGUUGAAGAUGACUUCGCGGCCUAUCAGCUUGUUGGUGAGGUAAUGGCUCACCAAGGCGACGACGGGUAGCCGGCCUGAGAGGGCGACCGGCCACACUGGGACUGAGACACGGCCCAGACUCCUACGGGAGGCAGCAGUGGGGAAUAUUGGGCAAUGGACGAAAGUCUGACCCAGCGACGCCGCGUGCGGGAUGAAGGCCUUCGGGUUGUAAACCGCUUUCAGCAGGGAAUAAGCGCAAGUGAAGGUACCUGCAGAAGAAGCACCGGCUAACUAUGUG
rnacentral:rRNA from 1 species